UUUCUUCCAAAAACCGCAUUCUUAGUCGGCUAGGGUGAUUGAAUACUGGAAGAAUCAUGUCGAUAAUUUUAAAGAAGAAGGUCUUUCUGCCGAUGAACUGAAGACGAGUAUCUUUAGAUUUUUAUCUUGAUUUAAUUCGAUUAGUUGCUAAAAAAUUAUAAGAUCUAUAGUUUCUCUACGGGAAUCAAUCUAAUGUUUCUCCUGCUCUUCAACUCCAUGGAAAUCAAAUGCUGCUCCUGUUCUUGUUCGAUUACUCAUCCAUGCAUGAUUGUAUCAUUACGGUAAUAAAAAUAUUUUUUCACAAAUUGACUUCUCGUAUUGUACUUCCGGGUUUAUUUUUGGUUUUUGAUUUUUGUUGAAUGCGUAUGUAUGUUAAAACUCAUCGAAUGGAAUUCAAACCGAGAAAACGUAUGCUCGAAUCAAAUCAGUGAACGGAUUUGAUAGAAAUGAGCAGCUUAAAACCACAAUUUAGGGGAUAUAGUUGGGGAAAAAUCAUGGAAAUAUCCUGGUUGGAUUACUAUUGUGUUUGAUCCAGCUUUGCUAGCAGAUAACAAGGUUCCGAUACUAAACAGACAAAAAUGGUUUUGGAGUGAUACAUUUCCCAUAUAAGUACCUAGUAUACUAGCUGUCGAUCGAUCCCGACAAGAAGUGUAUUCUUUUCACAUGCUAUAGGGGAAGGAAAGAUGGUGAUAUUGUUGUAGCUGAAGUAAAGAAUGUGGUGAUCAGCCAUGAGUAAGAGGCUUCAUCUUGGUACCUCAGUUGCAUCAUAGGAGUUUUUUUCAGUAAAAGGUUCUUAGCAGUGGUCCAUUUGUACAAGCCCGUGAAUUUUCUGUGAUGACCGGUGUUAACGCUGCUAUAUCUUGGGUUAUGAAAAGAAUUAUAGGAAAAGAGGAUGCUCAAACUAGAUUAUGCUCUGGAAGGAAGUGAAGGCACACCAUUGCAGAUAUAUUAAAUGUUUCAUACUGUCUAAUAAGAAGAUACAUCAAAUUUCAACUCUACUUAAGGAUCCUUGUUGGUCACUAGCUCAUCUGAUAUGGGUGACUCUUGAGCUUUACCCAUAUCAAUCGUUCCUGAGUUUUGUUUUUUAUUUAUCAAAGGUGGAUUCCACAAUAAGAAGAUUAAGCUUCCUCCGGAGUACCCAUUCAAACCACUAGGCAUGGGGUGAACAUAUUGUUAUGCAAGAGUAUUUUUCUAUGAAAAAGUAAAUUUGUGUGUGGCAGUGAAUAAACGGUCUCAUACAUGUUUUGCAGGGUGUACAUAUUGGCGCACAAUGUAAUUCUCAUGAAAAAGUAGGUCUCGUGGUGGAUAUGGACGACCAAUUUAAUGCAUAUUUUGUAGGUGCACAAGUGAAAAACCGACUGCAUAAACUUUUAAAAGUUUCUUGCAGGUGCACUUUUUGUACACAAUAA